GCGGGCUUGGAUUCAUGAUGCUGUGGGCCCGCAUCACAGCGCGUCAAGCGGGUGAUCACGGGGAUCUCCAUCACACCCGCCGGUAUAGCCGCGUCUGCUUAAAGUAGGCCGCCAGAGGAAGCUCGCAUCGCUUCUGGUGCUCCGAAUUUCAUAUAGCAGCACGCGCCGCACGCCGUGGAGGGGUGGGCCGAGUUGGAUACGGCUCAGAAAGUGCGGGACGCCG
ncrna:unclassified sequences PAGEV RNA